AAGAUUUUAAGUUAAAUAAACUAAUAAUUUUCAAAAUUAUUUAUAAUAUAAAAUAUUUAUGUAUUAAAUCUUA
rnacentral:tRNA from 1 species